rnacentral:rRNA from 1 species
CUACGGGAGGCAGCAGUGGGGAAUCUUGGACAAUGGGGGAAACCCUGAUCCAGCAAUGCCGCGUGGGUGAUGAAGGCCUUCGGGUUGUAAAGCCCUUUUGGCAGGGACGAUGAUGACGGUACCUGCAGAAUAAGCCCCGGCUAACUUCGUGCCAGCAGCCGCGGUAAUACGAAGGGGGCUAGCGUUGUUCGGAAUUACUGGGCGUAAAGGGCGCGUAGGCGGCUUCGAUAGUCAGGCGUGAAAUCCCCAGGCUCAACUUGGGAAUUGCGCUUGAUACUGCGAGGCUUGAGUGAGGGAGAGGAUAGUGGAAUUCCCAGUGUAGAGGUGAAAUUCGUAGAUAUUGGGAAGAACACCAGUGGCGAAGGCGGCUAUCUGGACCUCAACUGACGCUGAGGCGCGAAAGCGUGGGGAGCAAACAGGAUUAGAAACCCUUGUAGUCC